UCUCCUGUGGCGCAAUCGGUGGCGCGUCUGACUGUUAAUCAGAAGGUUGUUAGUUCGAUCCUAACUGGGAGAG
rnacentral:tRNA from 1 species